AUUCGGUUCAGUUUGCCAUUCAAUCACGAGUUACAGUCAGACUCAGUACUAGUUUCAACAGCCUACAGUUAGCAAAGUCAUCGACUACCAUCGUUUAAAGUUUGGCGAUGUUGUGCGAAGCAUGGACAUCAAAAUGGACACUAUGCUGCAACAUUUUAGUGCCGGUGUGUCCGUUGGAGGGUUAUCCCUGCCAGGGGAUCUGUUACUCCCACUAGACACCCAGGACGAUUUAGCGUUGCUUGACAGCAGUCUGAGGCAGGAUAAAGAGCUCCAGCAACGAUUUCUUCGGUUUUUGGCAAUCAAGUGUGGGAGGGACCUCAAGACAACUGUGUGGCGAAUGCUUGAGAGUAUCUUCUCUAAUCGCCUUUCCAUUAACACAACCUGGACUGGUGCAGGG